rnacentral:lncRNA from 1 species
CCCCCUCCCCCCCGCCCCAUCCUGGCCCCCAGCCUGCGGGUGUACCUGGACAUUGGGGCCCUCCAUCCUGCCCCCCCAUCCUGGCCCCGAGCCUGCGGGUGUACCUGGACCCUGCCCACCCCCCGCCCCGUCCUGCCCCCCAUCCUGCCCGGAGCCUGCGGGUGUACCUGGACCCUGACCCCCCCCCCCGCCCCAUCCUGGCCCCCAGCCUGCGGGUGUACCUGGACACUGGGACCCCCCAUCCUGCCCUCCCAUCCUGGCCCCGAGCCUGCGGGUGUACCUGGACCCUGCCCACCCCCGCCCGUCCUGCCCCCAUCCUGCCCGGAGCCUGCGGGUGUACCUGGACCCUGCCCUCCACCCCGCCCCAUCCUGGCCCCGAGCCUGCGGGUGUACCUCGACCCUGGGGCCCCCCAUCCUGCCCCCCAUCCUGGCCCCGGGCCUGUGGCUGUGCGGACUCCGCAUCCCCGCAUCCCCGCUCCCCCCGCUCCCGCGCAGCCUUUCAGUGCCCCCCGCGCCCCCUGCGCGCAGCCCCGCCCCGCCCCCGCGCCCCACCUGAGGUCCCCUAACGAGGCUCCAGGGCUGUUUGGAGUUUCCAGAAAUCGUCCCCGGAGCUUCCUUUGGGCCAGAAGCCCAGCGGGGCCAGGGCGGCGGCGGCCCGGGAGGCGCGGGAGCAAGGGCCUCGGGGCGCCCCGCGGGGCCCCCCCCGCCUCGGUGCUUGCGGCGUUAGGUCCCGUUCUGGGCGGAAGGGGGGCUGCCUGGACAUUUUUCCAAGAAAAAAACUGGGAAUCGUCCAGACCUCGAGCCCCCGCCCCCCGCACGUGGGAGCCCCGCGCCGCGGAGCUCGGAGCCGGGAGGGUCCCCAAGCGGGUCCCCGGGACUCGCGCGCCCGCCCCGCCCCCUCGCGGCCCCUGCCCAGGCCCCGGCCCGCCCGGAGGGAGCGCCCCCCCCGCCCCCCGCGCUGGCCCCGGGUGCACGGACCCCCCCGGGCAGCGGGCGGAGGAGGUGCCGCGGCCCAGGCGCCCAGACCGCGGAGGCCCGAGCCCGCAGCGGGGGACGUGGCCGGGCGGGGGGGGGGGGCACGGCUCUGCUCGCGGACCCGGGGGGGGGGGUCGGGGCCGGUCCCGGGGCGGCGGGGAGGCUCCUCCCGCUGGGCUGCGGGCGCCGGGCGCACGGAGGAGGCGCGGGGCGCGGGGGGCGCGGGCGGGGGCAGGGGGGCAGGGGGGCAGGGGGCAGGGGGUCCCUACCUUGCAGGCGGGCGGACGGCGGCCGCGCGCCCCUGGCGGGGCGGCCGGGCGGAGAGUCAGGACGGAGGGAGGCGGCUGCAGGCGCGGUGGGCGGGCCGGCGUCCCCGCCGAGAGGACACUCCCAUCCCGCGGCUGCGGGGGGCGCCGGGGCCGGGGCCGGGGCCGGGGCGGGGGCGGGGGCGGGGGCGGGGGGCUCGCGGCGGGGCCGGGCCGGGCGCACGUGCGCUUGCUCCUUGCGGCGCUCCCUGGGGAGGGCGCGGUGAGCAGUGCCCCUCCUUGGGAGGCUCCGAGCGCCUUUCGGGUUGCAGGGCUCGUGGGGUCCUCCGCGGUCUGGCGACGCUCCCCGGAGCCGCAGCCCGCGGACGCCGAGCCCGACCUCGCUCCCAUCCCGGGACCCCGGUGA